GACGAACGCUGGCGGCGUGCCUAAUACAUGCAAGUAGAACGCUGAAGAGAGGAGCUUGCUCUUCUUGGAUGAGUUGCGAACGGGUGAGUAACGCGUAGGUAACCUGCCUUGUAGCGGGGGAUAACUAUUGGAAACGAUAGCUAAUACCGCAUAACAAUAGGUGACACAUGUCAUUUAUUUGAAAGGGGCAAUUGCUCCACUACAAGAUGGACCUGCGUUGUAUUAGCUAGUAGGUGAGGUAACGGCUCACCUAGGCGACGAUACAUAGCCGACCUGAGAGGGUGAGCGGCCACACUGGGACUGAGACACGGCCCAGACUCCUACGGGAGGCAGCAGUAGGGAAUCUUCGGCAAUGGGGGCAACCCUGACCGAGCAACGCCGCGUGAGUGAAGAAGGUUUUCGGAUCGUAAAGCUCUGUUGUAAGUCAAGAACGAGUGUGAGAGUGGAAAGUUCACACUGUGACGGUAGCUUACCAGAAAGGGACGGCUAACUACGUG
rnacentral:rRNA from 1 species